rnacentral:rRNA from 1 species
UGCANGGCCCUUAAGGGCAGGGCUAAACACGGCUACAANGGGCGGNACAAAGGGUGCCAACCCGCGAGGGGGAAGCUAAUCCCACAAAGCCGGUCGUAGUCGAUGCAGUCUGCAAACUCGACUGCAUGAAGUCGGAUCGCUAGUAAUCGCAGAUNAGCAAUGCUGCGU